rnacentral:rRNA from 1 species
AUGCAAGUCGAACGAGACCUUCAGGUCUAGUGGCGCACGGGUGCGUAACGCGUGGAAACCUGCCUUUAGGUUCGGAAUAACUCAGAGAAAUUUGAGCUAAUACCGGAUAAUGUCUUCGGACCAAAGAUUUAUCGCCUUUAGAUGGGCCCGCGUUGGAUUAGCUAGUUGGUGGGGUAAAGGCCUACCAAGGCGACGAUCCAUAGCUGGUCUGAGAGGAUGAUCAGCCACACUGGGACUGAGACACGGCCCAGACUCCUACGGGAGGCAGCAGUGGGGAAUAUUGGACAAUGGGCGAAAGCCUGAUCCAGCAAUGCCGCGUGAGUGAUGAAGGCCUUAGGGUUGUAAAGCUCUUUUACCCGAGAUGAUAAUGACAGUAUCGGGAGAAUAAGCUCCGGCUAACUCCGUGCCAGCAGCCGCGGUAAUACGGAGGGAGCUAGCGUUGUUCGGAAUUACUGGGCGUAAAGCGCACGUAGGCGGCUUUUUAAGUCAGGGGUGAAAUCCCGGGGCUCAACCCCGGAACUGCCCUUGAAACUGGGAAGCUAGAAUCUUGGAGAGGCGAGUGGAAUUCCGAGUGUAGAGGUGAAAUUCGUAGAUAUUCGGAAGAACACCAGUGGCGAAGGCGACUCGCUGGACAAGUAUUGACGCUGAGGUGCGAAAGCGUGGGUAGCAAACAGGAUUAGAUACUCUGGUAGUCCACGCCGUAAACGAUGAUAACUAGCUGUCCGGGUUCAUGGAACUU